rnacentral:misc_RNA from 1 species
UCCGGUUUGUCACCGGCGGUCUCCUUAGAGUUCCCAACUUAAUGAUGGCAACUAAGGACAAGGGUUGCGCUCGUUGCGGGACUUAACCCAACAUCUCACGACACGAGCUGACGACAGCCAUGCAGCACCUGUCUCAGAGUUCCCGAAGGCACGAAGCUAUCUCUAGCGACUUCUCUGGAUGUCAAGACCUGGUAAGGUUCUUCGCGUUGCGUCGAAUUAAACCACAUGCUCCACCGCUUGUGCGGGCCCCCGUCAAUUCGUUUGAGUUUCAACCUUGCGGCCGUACUCCCCAGGCGGAGAGCUUAAUGCGUUAGCUGCGGCACGGAGGACGUGGAAGUCCCCCACACCUAGCACCCACCGUUUACGGCGUGGACUAC